rnacentral:rRNA from 1 species
AUUGAACGCUGGCGGCAUGCUUUACACAUGCAAGUCGAACGGCAGCGCGGGGUAACCUGGCGGCGAGUGGCGAACGGGUGAGUAAUAUAUCGGAACGUACCCAAGAGUGGGGGAUAACGUAGCGAAAGUUACGCUAAUACCGCAUACGAUCCAAGGGUGAAAGUGGGGGAUUCGCAAGAACCUCAUGCCCCUGGAGCGGCCGAUAUCUGAUUAGCUAGUUGGUGAGGUAAAGGCUCACCAAGGCGACGAUCAGUAGCUGGUCUGAGAGGACGACCAGCCACACUGGGACUGAGACACGGCCCAGACUCCUACGGGAGGCAGCAGUGGGGAAUGUUGGACAAUGGGCGCAAGCCUGAUCCAGCAAUGCCGCGUGAGUGAAGAAGGCCUUCGGGUUGUAAAGCUCUUUUGUCAGGGAAGAAACGGUUGGGGCUAAUAUCCUCGGCUAAUGACGGUACCUGAAGAAUAAGCACCGGCUAACUACGUGCCAGCAGCCGCAGUAACAC